UAGGGAAUCUUCGGCAAUGGACGAAAGUCUGACCGAGCAACGCCGCGUGAGUGAAGAAGGUUUUCGGAUCGUAAAACUCUGUUGUUAGAGAAGAACAAGGACGUUAGUAACUGAACGUCCCCUGACGGUAUCUAACCAGAAAGCCACGGCUAACUACGUGCCAGCAGCCGCGGUAAUACGUAGGUGGCAAGCGUUGUCCGGAUUUAUUGGGCGUAAAGCGAGCGCAGGCGGUUUCUUAAGUCUGAUGUGAAAGCCCCCGACUCAACCGGGGAGGGUCAUUGGAAACUGGGGGACUUGAGUUCAGAAGAGGAGAGUGGAAUUCCAUGUGUAGCGGUGAAAUGCGUAGAUAUAUGGAGGAACACCAGUGGCGAAGGCGGCUCUCUUGUCUGUAACUGACGCUGAGGCUCGAAAGCGUGGGGAGCAAACAGG
rnacentral:rRNA from 1 species